rnacentral:rRNA from 1 species
AGUGAACGCUGGCGGUAGGCCUAACACAUGCAAGUCGAACGGUAGCACGGUAAGAGCUUGCUCUUACGGGUGGCGGGUGGCGGACGGGUGAGGCAUACAUCGGAAUCUACUUUUUCGUGGGGGAUAACGUAGGGAAACUUACGCUACUACCGCAUACGACCUACGGGUGGAAGCAGGGGAUAUUCGGACCUUGCGCGAUUGAAUGAGUCGAUGUCGGAUUAGUUAGUUGGCGGGGUAAAGGCCCACCAAGGCGACGAUCCGUAGCUGGUCUGAGAGGAUGAUCAGCCACACGGGAACUGAGACACGGUCCAGACUCCUACGGGAGGCAGCAGUGGGGAAUAUUGGACAAUGGCCGCAAGCCUGAUCCAGCCAUACCGCGUGGGUGAAGAAGGCCUUCGGGUUGUAAAGCCCUUUUGUUGGGAAAGAAAAGCAGCAGGUUAAUACCCCGCUGUUCUGACGGUACCCAAAGAAUAAGCACCGGCUAACUUCGUG